UGUUUAGUCUUGUAAGUCAACCAGCGUGGUUUUCCCCUGUACUCCUUUUUGCUAUUCUCCUUUUUCUAGUCCUCCCGGUUUUGUCUCUUGCCUGUUUCUGGACUUUGUACCAGCCUGCCUGACCAGUCUGCCUGCCUUGACUUACGAGCCUCUCUUUACCUCCUUGACUCGGAUCUGGUUUUGACCUUUUGCCUGUCCACGAGUUCUCUUUGCCUACCCCUUUGGAUGAUUAAACAGGACCAUCAGGACCUUCUACUACGCCCUCAUCAACCUGCUGUGCUCCUGAGAUGCAUCUGUUUCCUCAAUCCCUAUGAGCAGAACUGGAGGUUUGGGACACGUGGGCUCUGCCUCGGAUGAGCUUCUUUUCUCCAGGAAGCUGUUCCGGGGGUUGUUCAAAGCUCUGUCCAGGAAGCCCUAUGACACAGCUCUCUGGGCUGGCUCUGCAGUAUCUGGCAGCUGGAGCCCCUCCCUCUUGACCACAUGGACCCUGUUUGAGGCUGGUUGGAGAGAUACCCACUCCAUGGAUGGAGAGGGAUACUUUGACUCCCAGUCUGUAGACACCUACAAGCAAGCUUUCAGCUAGGGCCUUUGACCUAUCGUUAUUCUUACCCUCUCUUGUAGAAAUACCCCUUAAACUGACAUGACAUUAUCAUUUCUAAAAUAAAAUCCUUCUGAUAUGUCUCAUGAAUAUAUACAUGGUUUCCACUUAAUAAUUAGUGUCUGUACCAGAGAAACUGGAGUAUGUGGUGAAUAAAUGCAGGACACACCCAUGAGAAGUGAUCAAUGGACAAGUUUUCAAAUGGCUUGGUACUUGAGGAGCUCUGUGAAGAGACCAAAGUACACUCUCUCCUGAAGCCUUACACAGCUUUGGCUGAGAGGGACACAGAGGUGUAUCGCUGGUCCAUAAAGGAGACAGUGACAAAGUAUGUUGGCCUUUGGCUGGACCAUAGCGAGAACUAAAGAGGGAGAUUUAUUUUUCGUGUAUUUAUUUCACCUUAGGCCAGUUGAGAACAAGUUCUCAUUUACAACUGUGACCUGGCCAAUCUAAAGCAAAGCAGUGCGACACAAACAACAGUUACACGUGGAAUAAACAAACGUA